rnacentral:lncRNA from 10 species
ACCAGAAAGGAGGCAUGGAAUAAUAUACCUUUGAAGAAGAAAAAACAGUCUCUCUUAAGGCUGUAUAUUUCAAGGAUUUAAUCAUUUUAGACAAAGAUAAUGCCAAAUGACCAAAUGACCAUUAUUUGCAGAUGUUUUAAUGGUCAUAAAUGUUUUCCUAGGAUUUUGUAGAGUGAGAAAAAUAAGUUCUUGUAGUGUGGAGCAUGAUACUUAUGAAGACUAUUGGGUAUAAUUGCCAAAUAAUACACUAUUAUAUAUUUCAUCUAUUUUUAACAUAGUUUUAUAAUUUAAAAAUACAUCAAAUGUUUGGAUGUCUUCUAGGAGACAGACAGACUUGAAAUUAAUUCAAUUUUAUAAAUGAUUCCCCUAAGAUUAAUAAUAAUAAAUGACAUGUUUAAAGUAUCUAAAUUGCAAUGUUAUAGAAGCAGAACAAAGCCCUAAUGUAAUAGUAAUCCUAGUGGGCUGUAGCAGCUGAAAUGAAAUGACUUUAAGCAGAUUUGGAUGGUUAUUACCCACAUGAAAUCCCUUAAGUGACUUUUCCCCUACUCACCCUUUCUUUUAGCAACUUCCUCACACCCCGUGGCCUAGGACUCUAGACAUGUUAAGAUAUGCUAAGGGAAUCAAAGAGUAGAACAUAGUCAUAAAUGGCAAAUCAUUUGACUUUACUACAUAAAAUGAAAAACUGAAGCACACUCUGUGAAAUCUAACAAGUUAUGCAUUGUGUAAAGAUAGGCAUUAUAAAAAAAACUUUUCCUCUUUGGAACAUUUAUAAAAGAAAUGAUAUAAACAUAAAUGACGUCCAUGCAAUCAGUUUAAGAAAAAUAUUAUAAAAAUGUUCUUAUUGUCUCACAACUUUGUUAGACUUUAUAACUACCUCCAUACUAAUGAAUGUCAAUAGUCAGGUUAUAUUUCUGUUUUCAUUCAUUUUCUAGUAUACUUCAGCCUAUAAGGUACAUUAUAAGGUAAGUAUUAGGGUCUUCUCUGUUGAAAGUAUUUGUUGUGAAACUAAAAUCAGAUCCUUACCUAAUUUAUUUGGUUGCAUGUUAAUUCUUCCAUAAAUUAUAUAGUACAGGAUAAAUGUGUCAAUACUGCUUUCAUUAAAUAAUUUUAAAAUUCAUUUGCCAAUGCAAAAAACAAAGAUCUUUUUUAAAGAAAAAAAAGUUAUGCAAAGAACAAAAUCCAUUUUCCAAUAAAGAUGUUAAGACCACAGUGAGGAAACAAAAAAUAUUAAAAUUAUUUGUCAAUGAAAAUCUGGUAUUCACUAUAUUUUUCUGUUAAUAUGAAUGUCUCAGCAUCAGUUUUGUUGGCUCACAAUAUAUUCAUGCAAUUUCACAGGAUGUGGCCUACAAGUUAACUUUU